UCUCCUCCCACACGACCUCCUCCUCCUCCCGCGCCGUUCGCCUCCCGCAGCCGCGCCCUUCGCCGCAGCCCUUCAUCGCCGCGUCGCGUCGCCGGAGCCACGGGAAGCCUCUGCGGGUCGCCGGGAGCCCGCCCCCGCCGCGGGAGCCCGCCCCUGCUGCGGGCCGCCGCCCCCCAGCCGCGGGAGCCCGCCCCUGCCGCGGAGCCCGCCCCCGCCGCGGGUCGCCGCCUCCCCAGCCGGAUGCUCCUGUACUCCUGAAGUCCUGAUUCUCCAAUCUACAUUGGCUUGAUACAGCAUAGGGAUUCAGGAGAAGGUCAAAAGAGAUUGGUACCAGGCUUUGUGCCACUGCCCACUUUCCCUGAUUGCUAAAUUUAUUUUAUGCUUCUGUCGACAUUACAACAGUCAACAAAGCAGGGAACCAAUCCAGCUUCAAGCUCCAGGUGCUUUUGUUUCUAAAUUAUUUGUGUGCUAAGGUGUCAUCUAGCUAGGAAUUAUUUAUCGAGGAAUGACUCCAUCUACCACACUUCUAGACAAUAUCACCUGGUAUGAUUCCGGUGUCGAGUCUCCUCACGUAAGCGUGUCACGAACACAACUUAAAGCCUUAAACUGCAGCCGCUCCUUGGGUAAUGAUAAGCAACUGCUACUCACAUCUCACUCAUAUUGUGCCAAUAGUAAUUUUUGUUUAUCCUACAGAUAAAGAAGCACCAAAAAGGCAAAGGGAAAAUGCCCGGUAUGAGCAAAAUAAAGAAGGGAUGUUAGAAAGCUAGAGCUGUAUUUAUUUUUCAGUUGCAGCUUAGCUAAUGUUUCAUCUGUUUUAUUGCGCCAAACUUUUGUCUCAGGUUCUUUUAUCACAUGGAUUGCACUCAGUCCCAGUUUAUACCUACAUAUGAUAUUGCAUUUACCCUUGUACCUUUCAGUUCCAUGGUUAUUGUAAAGCAUCCUAUUAUUCUCAAAUAGUAGUUGUAUUCACAAAUCAUCUUUUGUUUCCUAUUAUUCUCAAUAGGAUGCUAUUUUAUGCUGAUCGAAGUUAGUACUAAUACAUAACUUUGGUAGUCCGCAGAACCAAAAUCCUUUGACCUGAUCUCUUUGCAGGUGAAAAUUUAUAUUUUACUACGCAGAUGUAGAGUUGGCUUUUAUAUAAGGAAAUAAGAUUCGAGAAAUAAGCAACUUAAACACAGCAAUUGAAGAUUUCCAAGUCAGAUUUACCAACUUCAACAGAGAAUUGGCUUUUGUAGAAGGAAAUAUGAUUCGAGAGGGAUCGGACGGGAGAAAUAGAGAAGGACAGACGAUUGCUGCAGGAGGAGCAGGAGUCCUUGCGCGUGGACACCCUCCCGUUCUCCCAGGUAACACCAUGGAAUCCCAUCGUCUAAUUUUGGUCGCUCUUGUGAGUAUUUAUUCCAAUCAUAUCCCAUAUCCGCUGAAACUGAAGGUGAUCCGGCUACCAUGUCAUGGAUUCAGGGUAGUGUGUGGGAUUUCCAGUAGAAGAGUAGCUACUCACAAGCUUGAUGCCGCAAAGGCAUCUUCCUACUCUUCUGAGAACUUCCACCAAUAAGCUCCACGCGCUCCUGCACCUUCUUAUGAGUCAAUAGAAGAGUAGCUACUCACCUUCCUACGUCUCUGUCAUGUAGUUUCUAACGAUCUUUUAUGUGCCAUGUCGGCAAGGCCACAAGGGUGAUUGAUAAAAAAUCCAAGCAGGCUCCAUGUGAGGUGAAUCAAGAAAUCAUCUCUACUUAAGUCCAAGAGGUCACCAGGUGAAGGGAUGGAUAAACUAUCAGGUUGCAUUAAUUUGGAGCUAUGAAACUGCCUAUUACAUUGGAACUUGGUGAAGAAGUCGUAUCUGAGUAUGUUGACAUUGGCAAAAGGUACAUGCCGCAUGCUGAGACAUAUAUUCGUUGUGUGAGACAGAGGUUAAAUGCUCUGUAAAUAAAGAGAGACAACAAGGAUUGGUGAGUUUAUAGUCCCACUUUUGUACCGUUUUUAUACAAUGACAACAAUGAGCGACAUAUGUACUUCUCAUCCAAUUAGUUUUCUAGCAUGUAAAUGUAAGUAUUUCUUCAUGCACGUGAGAAAGACAAAUAUUUGUUCCUACAUGUUUGAGGAUAUGUAUAACCAUACUAUGGAAUGCAAUUGUGCUGAGGAGGAACGAGGAGGAGAGAUGUGUGCUGCUA